CGGUUCUAUUUAUUGGUUCAGGAACUGAAAUAAUGGUUAAGAGGGACAAUUCGGGGGGCAUUCGUAUCCCUGCGCGAGAGGUGAAAUUCGUGGACCGCAGGGGGACGCCCUAAAAGCGAAAGCAUUUGCCAAGAAUGUCUUCAUUAAUCAAGAACGAAAGUCAGAGGUUCGAAGGCGAUUAGAUACCGCCCUAGUUCUGACCGUAAACUAUGCCAUCUAGCGAUCCGAUGGGGUAUUGUUGCC
rnacentral:rRNA from 1 species